UCUCGGUGAUGAUCAACAACGAUGACGAGUCUGAUAUAAAUCCAUUCUCUUAAACCCUGACGACAAUUCGAGGCAUUUGUCUGAGAGGU
rfam:Morus notabilis contig17531, whole genome shotgun sequence.